UUGGACAUGCCUGGCGUAUGUAAUAGGCCAUGUAUGAUUGAUUUUUCUCUCUCUUUCUUUUUUCCUUUUUUUUCUUUGCCUCCACUAACAAGUUUUGGCAUGUAUUGGUGUUAGAAAUACUCUCGCAAGAUUCCAUGAAGGUAAGAAGAUCAUGUAUUUGCAAAAGACAAGUAACAGAGGAUACAAAGGUAAACUAUAA
rnacentral:lncRNA from 1 species